rfam:Terriglobus saanensis SP1PR4, complete genome.
GGGGGCGUCACGGCUUCGACGGGAUUGCUUGUGGUAGAGAGGCAUGCCGGGGUGUGGACACCCGUAAUCGCUCACAAAAACUAUAAGUGCCGAACCUCAAUUCGCGCUUGCUGCUUAAUUAAUUAAGUAGCCGUUUUCCAUCGGCUUCGCCUACGGGCUGGUGGCGAGCGUCGCACUGUAGGCUGGUCCAACGCGCUCCGCCUGUGCGCCGAGGAUGAGAUCGAUCAGGCUGGUCUCAGGCGUUUCUUCGUCCGUUCCAAGCGCUCGAGACGAGACUAACGAACGUGAAAAAGCAUGAAAGCUCUCUGCUAUUGGUAGUUUCGGACGUGGGUUCGACUCCCACCGCCUCCACCA